GACGAACGCUGGCGGCGUGCCUAAUACAUGCGGGUAGAACGCACAGUUUAUACCGUAGCUUGCUACACCAUAGACUGUGAGUUGCGAACGGGUGAGUAACGCGUAGGUAACCUGCCUGGUAGCGGGGGAUAACUAUUGGAAACGAUAGCUAAUACCGCAUAAUAUUAAUUAUUGCAUGAUAAUUAAUUGAAAGGUGCAAUUGCACCACUACCAGAUGGACCUGCGUUGUAUUAGCUAGUAGGUGAGGUAACGGCUCACCUAGGCGACGAUACAUAGCCGACCUGAGAGGGUGAUCGGCCACACUGGGACUGAGACACGGCCCAGACUCCUACGGGAGGCAGCAGUAGGGAAUCUUCGGCAAUGGACGAAAGUCUGACCGAGCAACGCCGCGUGAGUGAAGAAGGUUUUCGGAUCGUAAAGCUCUGUUGUAAGAGAAGAACGGGUGUGAGAGUGGAAAGUUCACACUGUGACGGUAUCUUACCAGAAAGGGACGGCUAACUACGUG
rnacentral:rRNA from 1 species